rnacentral:rRNA from 1 species
GACGGAGGAUGCAAGUGUUAUCCGGAAUCACUGGGCGUAAAGCGUCUGUAGGUGGUCAAAUAAGUCAACCGUUAAAUCUUGAGGCUCAACCUCAAAAUCGCAGUCGAAACUAUUAGACUAGAGUAUAGUAGGGGUAAAGGGAAUUUCCAGUGGAGCGGUGAAAUGCGUAGAGAUUGGAAAGAACACCGAUGGCGAAGGCACUUUACUGGGCUAUUACUAACACUCAGAGACGAAAGCUAGGGUAGCAAAUGGG